GGUCUCCGGUUAGUGAAACAUGCAGAUGUUCAGUAUGGAGAACUUACCUAAAAACAGAGAAGAAAAUAGAUAUCAGUAUACACAGAUGAAGUAGAAAAUGGAACUAUUCCAAAGCAGAUAUUACAUGAAAAAUCUUAGUAAUGUGGAUCCUUCGAAAUUAUCGAUCCGAUAGAGAACAAGUUUUCGUGAGCCAGUGUAUACCACGUUACUUAGAAUAUAUUUAUUGAAAACGUACGAAACAAACGCAAUGAGAAAAAGAGCCAUGUCGUACAAUUACGACAGUUUAAGAUUCGUAAGAAUUAUUAACCGUGGAAUUGGAAAUUUUUUCGAAAUAGAACUGCUACAGUUUCUUCAUUUUGUCUUAAAGUAAUUUAUACAAUUAAUACACAUUUUGUAUAUUAAAAAAUUG
rnacentral:misc_RNA from 1 species